GCCAUUUUGGUUGUUGAUGCUACACUUUGUUUCCACGUCAGUGUUGACAUUUCGCUGUUUAUCCCGCACGUAUCUCACGUUCUGCACGAUGUAUGCUUCUGUUGCUUUGGCCUAUCAUCAAGUUCACAAACACUUCUCCACACAUUCGUAAAGGUUGUCAAGACUGGAGACGGUUUGCAACCAACUGAAAUGGAAGUCGCAGACAUGGAAGAAACGUGAAAACGACAAAACUGAAUCGACUACACUGUAUCUCAAAGAUUCUCAGAAUAAAAAUGAAUCGUUCAUGA